UAUUAAAAUGGGGUAAUAUUUUUCGUACAAAUUUAUUUUAAUUUUCUAGUCACUGAAAGUCUUUCCCGCAAUGGUUGUUUUUAUGUAAAAUGAAGUUCCUUAGAAAAUUUGGGUUAUAUUGGAUUUGAAAUCUUUUUGAUUCGAAUUUGGCACCAUACGAAGUUUGAUUGAACUUUGGUUUCAUUCUUCGCUAUAAAUUUCUGAAAUUUGGCUACACUGGUAUAACGCUUGAAAUCCCCUAAGAAAAUGUAGCAUAAAGAUUGAUAACGAUGUUCGGAUACAGAUUGCAGGCAGAUAAUCAAUGUGUGUAAACUUAUAGUAAUAUAAAUAUUAUAUUAUAUACAAAUUAAAUGUAAAAAUGGGAGAUAACGCAGUAACUAAUCCUUGGGAUUCGUUAUCCACGGUAACAACAUUUGAUAGAGGCAAUAGCGCAAGAAGUACAAUAUGUUUAAACAAUGAUACCAAUCAAAAUAAUGGACAACUUGUAAGCAUAGUAACACCUUCUACCAGUUUGUUAAUUGAAUCACUUAUACAGCAGCUGUGUAUGUUGUUUGAAGAUGAUACAGCUCGCAGGAAUAAACUAUAUUUUGCUAUUUGUGAUAGACUACAUGAAUUGAAGUUAAUUGAUAGUUCUUACAGUAUGAUGGAAUUUGAAACAUUAAGAAGUCAAUAUCAACGUGCAUUGUAUCAUUUAGUUGCAGUUGCACGUGCAGCAACUGGUUGUGAAAGUAUACUACAAGUACCUAGUUCAUUGAUGACAGAAUGGUCCCGGUACCAUAGAGAAUUUCAGGAAAUAAGUUUUAUUGGUGCUGGAGGGUUUGGAAAUGUUUUUAAGGCUCUACAUCGUCUUGAUGGUAUUGAGUAUGCUAUUAAAAAAAUAAUGGUACGAUCUGGACGGGUUAAAAGUAUUAUGCAACAUCUUGAAGAAGUGAAAACUUUAGCAAAGUUAAAUCACACCAACAUAGUUUCAUAUAAAAGUGCUUGGAUUGAAUCCACAGUACCUUCAACUUUUGUACCAAGUUUAGUAUCUCCAGAUCACUUCCAAAGCAAAUCAAGUUCUUUAAGUCAUAGGAGAAACAGCAGAUGUAAAUCAUAUAGAAGUCAGUCCUCUGAUACACAGAAUCAAUUAGGUCCUAGUGGUAAUUAUAGUGACACCACUCCAAAAGAAAAUGGUCAACAAGGAGAUCAAUUAACUCAAGAAAGUAUUGCUGAAGAAAAUAUUGAGAGAAAUAUUUCAAAUAGUAUAUCUUUUAGAAGUGAUAGCAAAUAUCAAGAUAGGAAAACAAAUAAUAACACAAUGGAUGGUACUGAUUCAUAUGAAGAAACUAGUAGCAACAAGCAACUUUAUCCAUAUGUACCUCAAAUGAAUGAACAGUAUGCAACAUUAUACAUUCAAAUGGCACUUUGUGAAAAAACUCUUCAACAAUGGCUUGAUGAACGAGUGGAGAUGACGUCGCAAACGAUGAUUAUAGCAAUAUUGACACAAAUACUGUGUGGCCUAGAAUAUAUACAUUCGCGCAAAAUUGUGCAUCAUGACAUAAAGCCAAGCAAUAUAUUUAUUUCACUGUCAGGCCGUCUGCAAAUACAACUAGGAGAUUUCGGUUUAGCUUGUCCACUACAAAGGGAAGAUCAUCAUUCUAUACUCGGUACACAUAUGUAUGCUGCACCAGAGCAAUUACAAGGAAAAUGUGACCCUAAGAGUGACAUAUACAGUUUAGGAAUAGUACUUCUAGAAUUAUUGAUACACACAAAAACUAACAUGGAAAGAAUUGAAGUAAUUAAUGGCUUAAAACAAGGUCAAAUACCAACAUCAGUGACUGCCAACUAUCCUAAAUGGGUACAUAUAGUAAGCCAAUUAGUUCAAACAGAUCCUAAGAAACGGCCAUCAACAAAUCAAUUAUUACGUGACUUAAAUGAAGAUAAAGAUAUAACGAUAGCACAGUUAAGAAAUGACAUUGCUGAAAAAGAUGAUACAAUAAAUAAAUUACAAGAAAGAAUAUUGUUAUUAGAAAAACAAAUAGCUAAAUGCAAUAUACCAAUAGACGAUAUAUAAACGUUUCUUUUAAUUGGACUGAAAGAAGAUAAACUUUUAAAUGAAGUAUAGUAUUACUUUUUUAAUAAUGAACAAUAAAAUAAGACUUGAUACUAAUUACCGAAUUGGUACUAAUACAAAUAGGAAUAUUUUGAUAUAAAUAUUAUGUAUAGUACUGGAAGCAAAUAAGGCCUAUUUUGCCAAAAUCGUGUUUAAAAUUGUACAAACACGUUGAGAUGUUCCACAUAUAUAGAGGUAAUCCAUAAAUACACGAUGUCCAUCACAGUAGACUUAACCGGUGUUGCUCUUCGUUAUGAAAAAUUGGGAACAACUUUUACUGCAUUUUAUUAAUAUUUCAAUUUGUAUUAUUGUUUUAAUUAUUACUUAU
rnacentral:misc_RNA from 1 species